UGGCUUUUACUUCAAUAAUUCCGUCUGUGAAUUGACCUGAAUUCAAGGUUGAGAUAAAUAGAAGUUGUAAAACAUUCUUUUUUUCUUUUUUUUCUUUUUUAGCAAAAUAGCAGCUCUUGAGUGGGUUAACGUCACCCUGGAAACCCAAGGCGAGAAUUGGUGAAAAAAAAUGGGACAGGUGAGAACUGAUGCAAGGAAUGAAUGUUAAUCACUGAAGAAAACUGCUGGAGGACCAAACCAGGCAGCCAGAGCUACGAUGGAAUAAUUAAAAAACAAAAAUAAAAUCAAACUACCUUUAUCUGAUAAGAAAACCACAAAAACAUGCCGCACCUUUCAGAAUAUUGACCCAAAACCCUGAAAGCCAUGCAUCCUUUCCAUUUCAUAAUAACGUCCCUCCAUCAUAUCAAAUUCCAAUUACACAUUAAUAAAGCUUCAAACCAGUUCAAACAGAAUAAAUACUUUUGAAAGGCACCGUACCUCCAUUAUGAUCAUUACCUAAAGCAAUGCAGCAUUCCUGUCUAACAAAGCUUCGUUAUCAUUUCUGUCAUGGCUAGCGCGCGCGCGCGCGCGCCGCAGGUCUCCGGACGCGCUCGCGCACGCACCCGUGCCGGACUCCCUCGGAAAGGAACGGAACGGAAUAACGCACAGAGGCACUAAUGAAUCCAAAGCAGUUUUCUACAAGUUAAUCAGCACCGUUGUGGGUAAAGCACGAAGCAUUCUGGGAGUUGACCGACAACAUGCCAGGAAUCCGGGCACUGUGCGACCUGGACGGAGGAUACGGUGUCAUGACAACAAAAGCCCAUCCAGCGCGCGUGUAGAUGGAGCACCUGAACGCGUAAAAAAAAUUGGACCAUCGCCUGGUUGUGCGUCGCAUCUCCUUUCAGCACAAACGAGCUGCUGAGCAGGGACAUCCGUUUAUCCCAGGACACGGCUCUCCUGGCGCGGGGCUCCCCGCCACCGCCGCCGCCCGCGUCAGACGUCCGAUCCUCCCCGCUACCGCCGCGCCGGCUAAAAGACCCGCUGUCCCCCUGCACGGCUCCGGGCAGCGCCGUCCACACCGCCGCGGCGGUCAGCAGGAAGAUGCAGAGGCUCGCGGCGGCCGCUCGUUCCGGGCGCAGAGUUCCCAUCGCCUUGCCUUGCUGGUUUAUUUCUGUGCGCCGUAGGAGCGCGGAGACUGAUGGAAGAGGCAGCUGAUGCUUGUGGGAGACGGAUAGGUGCACACUGGAAGCUGGAGAGGCAGAGAGUGAGGGUGGGACGCUGAAGAGGGGAAGUGGAGCGAAAGCAGACAGUGCGAACAACGUGGACGCGUCUCCGAGCCAAGAGCGGUCCGCAGGAACGGCGCAGCGGUGCCAUCUGCCGUCCUGCAGCUGCAGCGAGCCGCCGCCGCUCCACUCAGUCCGUCCUCAUGUGGAGUCAGUGGGGUUGGGGGAGGGGGGGCAGGGGAGGGGAGUUCACAUGUACGGACCUGCUGGUGGGGGGGUUUCUAACGCGGGGGAGUCCAAACGUUUUGUCAAGUGGCCCAAAACUGUCAGCUCUAAAAGACAGGAGAAAAUUUUCGC